rnacentral:lncRNA from 1 species
CUGCUGCUGUGCAGGCAGGGCAUGUGGGCGUCCUUGGAAAAACCCCAGGCUCAUGCAGAUGCCACGUGUCUGCUGACUAGGUGAGAGCCUUGGGGCUCCGUCUCACCUUGUUGUGGAUGGCUGUGCUGAGGGAAACAGCUGCCAGGACCCUUCCCACGCACUUGGGGAGUUCUCCUGCAGGGCAGAGUAUCACCUGUGUUGGAGCGGGGGAAGCUGUGAGUCAUUGGCUGUGUCGUUCCUGCAUGACCGUGUGUCUCCUUCUUGUGCCAGAGCAGAUGUGCAGUGUCCUCCUCCGCAACCAGCUCAUCUCAAGGGGUGUGAUGCGGUCCAUGUCCCAGUGGCUGAACUCCUCCCACUCAGAAAACCUUCAGCUCACAGCAAUGGCUCUCUGUGCUGAGGUGAGGCAGCUGCAAGAGGAGAGUUCUUCUUAAGAAACUGCUGCUUGGCUUGUCGUCUUCUUUGGGAAGAGGGUGAUAGAGAGGAGAGUCAUCAUUAAGACUCCAAAGGAUGCUCCUUUACACAAUGCCUGUUCAUAUGCUGUGCCAGGGCUUAAGCUGUAUCUUGGUGCUCAGGGACAUGUCGCUUUAUUUUAGUGGAUGAAAGAACCACCGAUCACAGAGAGGAAGUUCCUGGAGAGUGUCCUGGACAUCUUGAUGGAGAAAGCACAGCACAGAAUCAACGCUGUGCGACAGAUGGCAGUGAGACGCCUGGGCAACACAUUCAGAAGAGCAUCUGAGAAGGUGCGAAAGCACAAGAAGGCCAUUCUGGAAGUACUGCAGAGAUGCGUGGAGGACGUUGCCUGUCCCCAGCUGGUUGCUGAGAGCAUGCUUGUGCUGGCUAAGAUGGUGAGAAAGCUGCGCCCAAAGGACUUGGGGUCUGCCUUUGAAGACAUCGCCAGGAUGUUCUUUGAAGCUGUGAGUGAACCAAUUCUUUCUCUUUUGCACUCUGCUUUAACGAGAGGCAUUUCUUGGGCCACCAUCCUCCAUAUCCUGAGGAGGCAGCGCACAGAUGCUGAUAGAGCUCGGUUAAGAGGUCCCCAGUUACCCAGCUAG